GGUAAGGUAGCCAAGUGUUUAGGCGGUGGACUGUAGUUCCAUGCACAAAGGUUUGAUUCCUUUUCUUAUCA
rnacentral:tRNA from 2 species